rnacentral:SRP_RNA from 1 species
GCUGGGCGUGGUGGUGCUCACCUGUAAUCCCAGCUACUCAGGAGGCUGAGGCAGGAGAAUUGCUUGAGCCCAGGAAGUGGAGGUCGCAGUGAGCUGAAAUCAUGCCACUGCACUCCAGCAUGGGCGACAGAGCAAGACUCUGUCUCAA